UACGGAGGGUGCAAGCGUUUCCGGAUUUACUGGGUUUAAAGGGUGCGUAGGUGGGCAGUUAAGUCAGCGGUGAAAUCUCUGGGCUUAACCCAGAAACUGCCAUUGAUACUAUCUGUCUUGAAUAUCCUGGAGGUGAGCGGAAUAUGUCAUGUAGCGGUGAAAUGCUUAGAUAUGACAUAGAACACCAAUUGCGAAGGCAGCUCACUACGGGGUUAUUGACACUGAGGCACGAAAGCGUGGGGAUCAAACAGG
rnacentral:rRNA from 1 species